ensembl:lncRNA
GUGAAAGAUUGCUCCUGUACAUCUACUUACGCCGGGGCGGCAGGUAGCCUAGUGGUAAAAGCAUUGGGCCAGUAACCGGAAGAUUGCAAGAUCGAAUCCCCAAGCUGACAAGGUAAAAAUGUCAUUCUGCCCCUGAACAAGGCAGUUAACCCUCUGUUCCUAGGCCGUCAUUGUAAAUAAGAAUUUACUCUUAACUGACUUGCCUAGUUAAAUAAAGGUACAAUUAAUAAACAAAAAUAGAAGGGCUUCAGAAUUAAGUUAUUUGCCAUUGCAGGUUUAAAUUGUUUGUUUUUCUACAGUGAUCAAUACAAUAAGUUACUGUAAAAUCACAUAAACAAAAGUACAAUGCACCUAAAAACCUAAAUAUUGUAGGGGGUGGAUGGUUUAUGGAUCCCGCCUUCUGUUAGGGUUUGGCCACAUCACAAGCCAUGUCAUCCCUGGCUAGGCGACGGUUGCCUUGUGUAUGCAACCCUGGACUGACCCCACUAUAUAGGGAAUAGGGUGCAUGCCUCUUCCAUUGCUUGCAGGCAAGGUCACAUACUGUAUUUUGUCUGAAUGCAGAGCAAAUAGGACACAACGCACUGCCAUUACAGUGUAGUACAGUGACACUUGUACAUAGUCAAAGACCUUCACUUUGACUAAAUGAAACCCUGGACAGCUGCUUCGUCGUAAGAUGGUGUUGACCCAAGAUGGCGGCAGAGUGUCAACGUACUGGUUGUUUAUUAUGGAACGUUGUGUGAUCUGCGAUGAUUUGCUCCCGUAGUUGAUGUGGGCGGAUGGUGUUGACCCAAGAUGGCGGCAGAGUGUCGAUGUACUGACACGGGUUGAUUAUUAUGCAAAGUUGUGUGAUCUGCAAUGAUUUACUCUCUUGGUUGAUGUGGGCGGAUGAUGUUGUUUGCCAACACAAACGGCCAGUUCCUGAUCACGGUGAACAGACAUUGCCUUCCACCCUCAGGAGGUCGUCUGGCAGUUCUGUAGAAAAUGCAAGAAUAGGAUGUCAUUGGUUAGUUUUUUGUUACAUA